rnacentral:pre_miRNA from 9 species
UCUCGAUAGCGUAAAAGUUAACUCAAAUUUGUAUGGAUUUCGAACGUUUGCCUAGCUUUGCCGCUAAGGGCGCUGUACCAACUGCAUACAAAUUCGAGUUAACUUUUACGCUAUCGA